UUUCUGAAUAGUUAUAUUUUUCAUUUUCGAGCAAAUAAGGAACAGAUUUUGGCGAUCCUGCUCAUCGAAUUUUGUUCAGUCUAACAAAUAAUUGUUCUGAACUCUACUGUUAUCGUUCUAUUUCAAUUUUGAUUACCAUCUUGAACCUGAAACAACAGUUGCAGUAACAUUGACGCACAAAAGCAAUCAAAUAACAAAUAUAAAAUUUCAAUUUAAUUUGGUCAAAUCUCCGGUGGAAAUAUGAUCAUAUUAAAUAUAGUGAUUUAUCAAUUGAAACGAAAUUUUUAAAAGAAAAUCUGUUAUCUAUUAAAAAAAUCCAGAACUAUCUAUAAGGGAUUAAAACUUUAAAGAUAUUAGUUUAAAUAAAUAUGGAAAGGAAAACAUACAGAAAUGUUGGAAUCGACAAAUUACUCAGUCCAAGGUCCUAUCAAUUUUUCUUCACCGAUUUCUGUUGAAGAGUACCAAUUCCAUUCGAUUUACGAAUCAACAGAAGCAGCAUUAACUGACUCAAACCUAGCAAUUACGCAACACCAGAAGGGCUUAUCUCUUUUGAUUACUUGUUCCAUAAUAAUUCUUGGAGUAGGUUGAAUUAGCAUGGAACCCACAAAAUACAGCAAAGACUAUUCUUAUCCGCGUCCCGCUCCAAUAAUAUUCAAGCAUACGCAGAAGACCGCAAUAACCGAUGUGCCAAAAAGUGGUGGAUCAAAUCAAUUUCAUAAAAAAAUUUUAAACGCGUUUUAUUUACAUUUAUUUGCAAAACCGCAAAUGCUCAACCCUGUGUUUAGUUUCAUCCAGCUGUAACCUCCACCACUGUAAAAGCCAAAAAAAAUUCACUACUUUUCAAGACCUAUUUUUGAUAGAAAGAGAGGAAAUACAACGAUAAUGAUUGGGGAAUGUUAUCAGCCUAAUAUUGAAAUGAAAAAGUACAA